UAGUAGCCAGGGAACAUUGGAGGUGGUGGCGAUGCGUAUUGGUGGCCGACGAAGGGUGGUAGGAUGAACUCAUCACUUGGGGCUGGUUCUUGUGCCAGCGGCGCCUCUUUCUUUUCCACCGGUGGUGGUGGCGAGUUAACCGGGGGAGGUGGUGGCGAGUGAACAGGUGGAGGUGGCGAAUGGACUGGUGGCGGCGGGGAAUGUACCGGUGGAGGUGGUGGAGAGUGGAAUGUGCCGGUGGAGGAGGUGGCGGCGGGGAAUGUACCGGUGGAGGUGGUGGAGAGUGGACUGGCGGUGGAGGAGAGUAGACAGGAGGUGGUGGAGAGUGGACUGGCGGUGGAGGAGAGUGGACAGGAGGUGGCGGCGGGGAAUGUACCGGUGGAGGUGGUGGAGAGUGGACUGGCGGUGGAGGAGAGUAGACAGGAGGUGGUGGAGAGUGGACUGGCGGUGGAGGAGAGUGGACAGGAGGUGGCGGAGAGUGAACCGGUGGUGGUGGAGAGUGGACUGGGGGAGGAGGAGGUGGCGGAGAGUGAACCGGUGGAGGAGGUGGUGGUGGAGAGUGAACCGGUGGAGGAGGUGGUGGCGGAGAGUGGACCGGUGGUGGUGGGGAGUGGACCGGUGGUGGUGGAGAGUGGACCGGCGGUGGAGGAGAGUGGACCGGCGGUGGAGGAGAGUGAACCGGCGGUGGAGGAGAGUGGACCGGCGGUGGAGGAGAGUGUACCGGCGGUGGAGGAGAGUGAACCGGUGGUGGUGGAGAGUGGACUGGUGGUGGCGGAGAAUGAACCGGCGGUGGUGGUGAGUUAACCGGUGGUGGCGGAGAGUGAACCUGUGGUGGCGGAGAGUGAACCGGUGGUGGUGGAGAGUAAACUGGUGGAGGAGGUGAAGGAAGAGGAGGAGAAAGAAGUGGUGGAGAGCUUACCGGAGUUGGUGGAGGAGAGAAAACCACCGGAGGUUGGGAUUCAUGAGGUGGAGGAGGACUGCGUCGGUUACCCACUGGAGAUUGAUCGUAAGGAUCAUCCGGUUGGGGUGACUCUUUUGGUGGUUGUGGUUUAUGAACCGGUCGAGUUGGAACUGGAGAUGGUUUGUGAACAGGCGUAGUUGGAACUGGCGAUGGUUUGUGAACAGGCGUAGUUGGAACUGGCGAUGGCUUGUGAACCGGCGAUGGUUUGUGAACAGGCGUAGUUGGAACUGGCGAUGUUUUGUGAACAGGCGUAGUUGGAACUAGCGAUGGUCUCGACGGAGUAGAGGAGCCGCCACCAGCGCAUUUGUCCUUGCUACAGUCAACCGGACGGCUGAUCACUACCGCACAUUCCUGGGCGGACCGUUGGUCUGGUCGAUGAGGUAAGCAAUUACGUACGUCGUCCAAUUCAAUCUCCUUCCGACCACCACCUGGAACACACGAACCACCUUGUCCAUUGAAGUAAUUGUAGGAGUAAGUGAAGUUCACCAAAUUAGGCAACUUGCAAAUGUUAUCCGCUACUAAUCCGGUCAGUUUAUUCUCGGAGAUAUCGAAUUCCUCCACACCCGUUAACCCGACAAAACUUGUCGGGAGACGACCAAUGAACGUGUUCUUGCUUGCAUC
rnacentral:lncRNA from 1 species